UGAGAAGUGGCUGAGGUUAAGCAGUAGACUGUAAAUCUACCCACGGAAAUGUUUCCCUUCUUAU
rnacentral:tRNA from 1 species